CCCGGCCUGAAACUGCUAAUGUCCAUCUAACACAAGGCACCACCACCUGUUAAGCUAUACUCUUGGAAUUCAACUAUUAUCCUGACUGGAAUCUCCCAAAUAAUCUCAUCAGACAACUCAAGCCCUUUCGGAGGUUUAACUCGCUAGAAGUUCAAGAAAUUGAGAGAGAGAAUCCAAGCUGGUCCUGACAUUUCAUUAGCUUCCUUGUCUGAGAUAUACUAAAAAAAUUGUUGGCUUUUGUCGAUUAAACUCUCUGGCGGCUUCACCCACCAAAGCAAAAGAGCGUGCAAAAAUCUUCCACUGCUUGGUACAGAUGUAUAUGAACCAAGUCAAGCAUUCGCCAAACAAAAAGAAAGGUUAAAAACAUAGCACUGUCACCAUAACCGAUAACUCUUUUCCUGCAUAUAUAUAAUAUAACACCUGUACUGCAAUUAUACUUCACGUACUGUUAACCCUAGCUCGUAAGAAUCCACCAUGAAACCUCCUUUAAAGAAAUCUAUUGUUAGUUGGACCCAAAUCUUGAAAUCGACCCAAUAGACCCGAGACGGGUAAAAUUCG
rnacentral:misc_RNA from 1 species